GGACCCGCACAAGCGGUGGAGCAUGUGGUUUAAUUCGAUGCAACGCGAAAAAACCUUACCUACUCUUGACAUACUUGGAAGCUCUUGUAAUGAGAGUGUGCCUUUUGGAGCCAAGAUACAGGUGCUGCAUGGCUGUCGUCAGCUCGUGUCGUGAGAUGUUCCGUUAAGUCGGAUAACGAGCGCAACCCUUACCCUUUAUUUGCCAGCGAUUCGGUCGGGAACUAUAAGGGGACUGCCGGUGAUAAACCGGAGGAAGGUGAGGACGACGUCAAGUCAUCAUGGCCCUUACGAGUAGGGCUACACACGUGCUACAAUGGGGAAUACAGACGGACGCUAAGCCGCGAGGUGGUG
rnacentral:rRNA from 1 species